rnacentral:rRNA from 1 species
UCUACCUACGGGACGCAGCAGUGGGGAAUAUUGGACAAUGGGGGAAACCCUGAUCCAGCGACGCCGCGUGAGUGAAGAAGUGUUUCGGCAUGUAAAGCUCUAUCAGCAGGGAAGAAAAUGACGGUACCUGACUAAGAAGCCCCGGCUAACUACGUGCCAGCAGCCGCGGUAAUACGUAGGGGGCAAGCGUUAUCCGGAUUUACUGGGUGUAAAGGGAGCGUAGACGGUUCUGCAAGUCUGGAGUGAAAGCCCGGGGCUCAACCCCGGGACUGCUUUGGAAACUGUGGAACUAGAGUGCAGGAGAG